AUAUUUAUAUUUAAAAUUUAUAUUCACCGCAUUGAUCGCCAGGGUUGAUUCAGCUGACCUGGCUGGCUAGGCAGGUGUCCCCUUCCUACUUCACCACUCCAUGUGCAUUCCUCCCAAAGCUGCGCUCAUGGUCAAAGUGGACGACCUUCCCUGAUAGAGGAGAGGACAGUUCUUCAGUCAAGGGUAUACAAGUAGCGGAGCUCCCCUGCUAGAAUCUCCAAACAAGCUCUCAAGAUUCAAACAAGUUUCAUCCAUUGUUUUUGGUUGAUAUGUUUCUCAAGUCUCUUUUAUCUAUGACUUAUCUAU
rnacentral:snRNA from 1 species